ACUUUUGACAGUAUUCAUUUUGGUUUAUUCAGUGUCAGUUGUUAUAAAAUUGUUUGAACACUUUGUUUUUUUUUUUUUUUGCUAUAUUUGAUGUUUAAAUCAGUAGAAGCAUCAAACGCAUACCAAAGUAUAAUGUGUAUACAAUUUUUUCAAGAAACCUGGAUUCGUAGUGUUAAGAUUAAUAUUGAAACGAGACGAGUUAUGACCAAACUUAAAGGUUAUGGUUAACAACAAAAAAUGGAUAAUAUUGAAGGCGAAUAUUCCUAAUAUUUUGUGAGCUGGAUGUGAUUUGUAUGAACUUCAUAUUCUGUGUGACUAUUCGUGUUGAAUGAAGGGAAUCGAAGUGUUCAGUGACCUUCACAGCCAAUAAUUCGAACGUCAAAAAUCAAGAAAAAAAUAUCUCUGU